rnacentral:lncRNA from 1 species
AGUAGAUGCACGGAAGGCAGUCAAAUCUUCCUCACUACAUAGGGUGUUACUUUUUUGGGUUAACUGACACUUAAGCUCUUCCUUACGUUCCAAAUCUUUGUGCAUAAAAUAACAGGAGUUAAUCUGUUUCUGAUGUAUGGCUUUUAAUGCUGUUUCAGAAAAGGAAUCAUCCUUCCUCAUGCCCAGUGAAGGAUCCACUUUCUGACUUGCCAACUGCACAAAAUCUUUCACAUGGUUUAACAGCACUGUAAGCAGUCUGAUAGACUCCGCUCUUCUCUGAGCUAGCAGGGAUUUCCUUUCUUCCCAUUCAGGCACAUUCUCUGGACACUGCUGUUCUUCAGUUGGUACUUUGUGCUGCUUUUGGGGAUGCUUUUCAUCUCCAUCUAUCUGCCUCUCCUCUCUUCUUGAGCUUAGCUUUCUUUUUUCUCUCUUGAACUUUUUGUUCAUCAUCACGUUUUUUUCUAGGUAAUUAUCAAUAUGGGACAAUUUAGAUGACACUUGUUUUACUCUUUGAGUCCUGAGAGAUUGGAUGUCAGCCUUUAAACUGCUAAUAAUAAGCAACCUGUCACCAAGAAUCCACAUUUGACUAAUAAGAAAUGAUGGUUAUUAUGGUUAUUACAGUAACAUGUUUAAAGAAACAUCACAUAUUGAUGACACGCAUCUAACCGAUGCACACAUUUAGAACAUAUUAGUUCUGUAUUUACCUCUUCUAGUGGUUUGUAUUCUAGGGUUUUCUUU